AAUCUGCUCAUCCAUGUCUCUGAUGGAAAUGGUACCAUAACAAGGAUAAUUGAAAGCCCCAACUUUUUCUAUAUUUCCCCUUUGUUUAAUAUUGUAAUUAGUAAGAUCUGAAUCCAAGUAGUUUCCCAACCUUUUCGUGGUGUUUCUUUGACAAAUCAGCACUUGAAUCAUAAUGCCCGCUUUUAUCCUUCUUCUUAUCCUUGUCUUUGUCUUUAUCCUUACUUCGAUCCUUAUGACGGUGCU
rnacentral:lncRNA from 1 species